AUGGAAAUGAAGAAGAUGAAGUGGUUUGGUUCAAGAAAUGAAGCACGUUUAGGUAGGAGUUAUACAACAAAGCCACAUAAUCAUCAUAGAAGCUAUGACGACAGCAAGAAAACAGUGUGGCAGAAGAUUUGGAGAAAGGUGAGAAGAGAUAAGAAGAAAGUUUUCAAUUAUGCUUCUUCUUCUGCAUCUUCUAGGGUGGAUAUUGAUGGUGUAUCUUAUGAUGAAGAAACAUAUUCUAUGAACUUUGAUCAAGGAACAGGGUGGAUGGAAGCAGAUAAUCUACCACGUUCAUUUUCUGCUCGGUAUGCUGACCCAUCUUGGAUCUUACCACCUAAACUUUUAUUGGGUAGAUGA